CCAAAUCUAUCAGAAAGAUGCAGCAAGAACAUGGGUGCUGACUGGCCUAUGAUUGCUCAUAUACCAAAUAUUAAAAUUGAUGGAAGGUGGAUUCAAUUGGAUGGCCAUUACAAAACUUGAUUAGAAAAAAUCAUCAGAUUUUCAUUCAGGUUGUUAAGACAAAAGGCGAGAGUGGUUUCAUGUUAUAAGAGUUCUUGUUGAAAGGCGAGAUUUAAGGAUGUUUUGUCAUGCAGCUUCUUAAACUGCUGAGCUGAAAUAAAGGCAGUUUUCUCCAUCAAAUUCUUUUGAGUUUUGCCUUCCCUGAAGUUAUCUAAAAAAUUGCUAGGCAUUUGCCCCAAAUUAAAGCCAUAUCUGGAGGCUUUGGAUGUAUUGUGUUGAAUAUGCCACACCUAUAUCUUCUGUUUCUAGUUAUCGAUCCACUUUUCUUUCUUCGGAACAUCAUAGGCUGAUCAAGAUGCAUCUUUCAAUGCUUUCUUUUAAUAUCGCAAAAGGGAUGUUAAGUGGUGUUAACGGUGUGUUGCUAUGCAUCUUCGUGAACUUCUACAUGGGGCCAGGAUUCAUUCAGUUCAGGAGCAUUUCUCAUGUCUUUGAGAGUAGGAUUGCAGCAUUUCUCAUGUCUUUCGGGAAGCAAAUUUUUCAGCAGAUUGUUUGGCAAAUAUUGCAGCACUCUUGGGCACCCAUUGUUUGGAAUCUCCUCGAGCUGCUCUUAAUCAAUAGGUUCUUCAUGAUAUGUGUGGUGUCUUUUAUGUUAGAGACUGUUUGUAGUUUCUUUUGAGCUUUGCUCUUCUAUUUGUACCUAAAAAAAAGAACGACUGAAGUUUGAACUUUGAUAUCAGAGGCAUGCAGAAAACAAUGAGAACAAGUACAACCACCAAGAGGGACAUGUUCGCUAACACUGAUGCUUCCUUGACUUAAUCAAUAUUUUUACUUACAUUCUAUAAUUAUGUUCAGAUUAGUUUGAAAAGUUUUCGGUGUUAUACUGAUAAAUUAUAUAAAAGUUCGAUGUGCACAGAAUUAAUGAAACUAGUUGAUAAAAUUGGAGAAGUACUUCCAGAAAUAGAAGCAGCUUGGCAACUGCCCAUCAGAAAUUCAGGCACUAUACUUGCUAAAUAACACAAUUAAGAUAGCCAAGUUUCUUCUUCAGGACUGCUGUGAGUCUAACAAACUAUAUUUGCUAAGCAUGCUUCAAUAAUUUCAGAUGUGGAUGAAAUGAGAAACUCUUUAACUAUAUCUGUAUGCUUAAUUGCUUAUCCACGCCCAAAUUCUAUUCAGAUGGAUUUUCCUUCAUUAUAUUUUAUUAUUGGGAUGUUGGUGGUCUGAAACAUUUUCAGUGUAGAAAUUGGAAUUAUUGAUUUUGUUUUUCCUCCUUUCCUUUUAUGGUUAUCAGCAAUACAUUCACUGCAGCCAUUAACUUAUGGUUGAUAGUGCUUCUUGCAUCACUUUUAGGCAAUAACAGGAGAUGCAGCGGUCUCAAGACGUCAAAGAUUUAGGAGCAGGUUUGGACAAAGUUUAGGCCAGAUUCAAACUAUGGUCCCAACCCCGUUGGCUGCCAAGAUAUCUCGCAUUACUGAUGAUCUAAAUGCAGCAAAAUUUAUGCUGGACUCUACUGAUAAAGAGGCUGGUGAGGCUGCGCGAACUGUUUCAGCUGGCUACUUCUCCAUCUGAUUCAAGGGAAAAUUCUGAAAUGAAAGCUCUUCAAAAAUUGCCGCUAAAUAUCAGCCGUUAGUGGUUAAUGAUUAUAUAGCUGUUUAGAAUAAAUAACUGUUUGAUUGAGUAUUUAA